rnacentral:rRNA from 1 species
GAAGAGUGGAGCGGUACGUCCGUUGCUCCAGCGAUGCUUAGUCACAUCCCUCCGGCUUGUCGAUGUCCGAUGAUGAAGACGUCUGGCCUCGUCAGCUCAGACAGAUGGUCGGCCUUGGCCUCGUCGGUGCCCGGCCUGGUGGUGUCCGCCUCGUCGGUGUCAGACACGGUCUUGCCUUCGCCUCGUCGGUGCCCGGCCUGGUGGUGUCCGCCUCGUCGGUGCCCGGCCUGGUGGUGUCCGCCUCGUCGGUGUCAGACACGGUGUGUCUUGCCUUCGCCUCGUCGGUGCCCGGCAAGAUAUGGAUAG